AAAUUGAAGAGUUUGAUCAUGGCUCAGAUUGAACGCUGGCGGCAGGCCUAACACAUGCAAGUCGAACGGUAACAGGAAGCAGCUUGCUGCUUUGCUGACGAGUGGCGGACGGGUGAGUAAUGUCUGGGAAACUGCCCGAUGGAGGGGGAUAACUACUGGAAACGGUAGCUAAUACCGCAUAACGUCGCAAGACCAAAGAGGGGGACCUUAGGGCCUCUUGCCAUCGGAUGUGCCCAGAUGGGAUUAGCUAGUAGGUGGGGUAA
rnacentral:rRNA from 5 species